GACCUGAGCUCCUCCCUGCGCCGUCGAAUCAGUUCUUCAUCUAAUCGGUGUAUACAGUUUCUCCACAGCAGUGGACAUCAGGACCGCACAGGAUACAGUGAUCUGGACAAAGGUGCUCAGAUGAAGGCAAGGGAGUAUGGCGGUGGAAAGAAAGUCCUGACGACCGAGGUUCUGAGUCACCUUCACAUCCGCUGUCAUGCUGGCUUUGCUUAGGACAAAAACCCAAGAGAAGACCUGAAGCCCAGCAUCGCAGAGAGAGACACAGCCCCCGUUCACACUGUUAGGAGUCCCACAAGAACAUCAAGUACACAACCAUAACACAUAUGGAGGACAGAUCAGACCCACACAGGCCCCUGAUGGCCACUUCAGUCUCUGGGAGGCCCUGUGAGCUCUGCUUAGUUGAUUCUGUGGUCCAUGUUCUCCUGGUUUCCUUAACCCCUCUGGCUCCUACAAUUCUUCCUCCCUUUUUCCGCUGUGGAUUGAUUCUCUAAGCUCCGUCUAAUGUUUGGCUGUGGGGUCUCUGCAUCAGCCCCUAUCCUAACAUUUAAUUUUGCAUUUAAUUUAGCCCAUUUUUAGACAAUAAAUAUAUGUAAUAAAAUAUCUCUUCUGAG
rnacentral:lncRNA from 1 species